rnacentral:lncRNA from 1 species
CGUUUUUUUGCAGAUUGUUCUUGGAGAGCUUCAGUGCUCAGUACUUAGUAUAAUAAAUAAGAUGGGCCCUUAGGGCAUAAUAAUUAACCUAACAAAUGUUUAAGAAAGAUUUUUAACAAGGUAAGAGCAGGUCUUGUCACUUCAAAGGUGUAAGAGAUUAUUCUUUUGCACUAUUGUCUCAAAGUUUGCUGAGGAACACUGAUGGACACAUCCUGGGCAAGGGCUGAGAAAUCUUUUGUCUGAAGGACACAGACGGUAAAGUCCGGACAAGUCCUUCUCAAAGUUGGCGAAAUCUUUUGUCUGAAGAUUUUACAAGCCAGGGGCAACGAGAGAGAGAGAAAUCGCAGCUUAAUGGCCGGGAAGCAGUCUUUUGUGUGGGUUUAUCUCGAGGGAGAUAGCCAUCUCGGGGGGGUACUGCACAUGGCUCUUACCCAAGCUUACCCAAGCUCUUACCCACACUGGCAGAAGAAGAAGGAUAAAAAGGGAGCCAACAACCAAGAGAUUAGGUGUCAGACAUCAGAAGCCUCACGAGCUGAUGCCUGAAAGCUGAAGGACUCUCUUCUGGACCUGCUACCUGAGAUCUGCUGCUUCCUCCUGGACUUACCCAGCUGCUUGUUCCUGGCACCUGCUUGCAGCUUAAAGCCUGUCACGCUGCUGCUGCUCUCCCCCUGCGCUUUUGCCUCGGACAAUCGGAACAACAUACAACGGGACGCUGCUGGAUCUUGGUGCCUUCGAACUUCUUCCCCACAUGUCCCAGAAGAGGGAAGCGUCGUGCGAGGGGAAGCCCUGUCACUGUUGAUAUAAUCAAGUAAACAGCAACAAUGUGAUAAUACAAGAGAAAUGCAGAGGACUGGUAUUUUGUUUAGUGUCAGUGUGAGGACAAUGUUGGUAAUCUCUUUCAAAUUCUUUUCAAUAAAAACAAUCAACUAUUUGCAGGAAUAUUUGCCCUCUUGAUUUAGUGCAUGGUUCCCAGCUUAGAAUGCAGUUACAAAAUAUCUCUUUAAAAAAUAAUUCUUUAACAUCUGUAUUUUUAUAUGUAGUUGUUCUGAGUUUUAAAAUAUGUUCUGAUAAAGGAUCAUCCAGAUAUCUCUAAUAUCUGGUGACAAAAUUUUGUGCCAUAGCAUCAGUCAAAAUGAGACUCAGUCAAAACGUGACUCAGACAAAAUGUUUUGGUGUUGUAUCUACCAUAACACUGAUGAUAGAUGAGAAUGUUCUGUAUUUUGUCAUAUGGGCACAUAAAUCAUAAAAUAUGUCUUUAUACAUAUCAUGUUAUUUAGUGCACAUUUUCACCAACAACACCACAUGAUGCAAAGACGUUGAUACCAUACAUUUUCUGCAUUCUGUAGGCAUGGAGGAGUAUAGGAAGUUUGAUAGACAGCUAAGGAACAGGAGUCUCCUACAUCAGGAAGGAUACACACCUUGUAUACCAUCAUUUUUAGCACAUAUAUCUUCCUUAUAAGACAUGCACUCUAAAAAUUUGAAAUUUUGUCUUUGAUUCAGCAGUCAUUUGCUACUGACAGGGAUCUUGAACAAUACACCAGUCAACAAGUAGCAAUUCAAGUGCCCAGAAAUCUUAGACUGUGGGUAAUUUUACCAAUAAGUAAGCGAUGAUUUUAAAAAGCUAGAAGGAGACUUGGUAAUUCCCAAUACAUGUGAUGAUCUGAGCCUUAUGACUAGUCUUAUGUUAGCUUACAGUGAAGGAGAGAUUUCCCAGAGGUUUAUUGUUGUGGUUUAACCCAGCAGGUGGCUGAGCUUCAUGCAGUUGCUUGCUCACUCACUCCCCCUUUCCAAGUGGAAUGGGGGAGAGAAUCAGGAAAAAAAAAAAAAAAAAAAAAAAAAAGUAGAACUUAGUACAAAAAAAAGUAGAAUAAUGUACAGUACAGCUAAUUUUCAGAUGUCUGCUAACAUUUAAUUUAAAGCUUCACCAUUACUUUGUUUUUAUACAUCUUGUGUAAUCAUUUGACAAUUUUUUGAAAUGGUAGAUUAAUAUUAGUACGAAUGAGCUAGCAAGCUGUCCAAGGGUAAGUAGAAAGCAGAGGAAUGAGAAAGCCUGCUUAUGAAUAGUAAGCAAAAUAAAAACAAGUCAUGGUAAAGGAUUUAUUUUUUUUUUUUUUCUUUAAUAUUGCAUUGUAUAUAUUAACUGUGAAGCAAAUGACUGGAAAACAACAGUGAGCUAUUCAUGGUAUCAUGCUAAACUAUGGUAAAAAAUAAGCAUGUUUCCUAUUUAAAUGUUGAAGGUUUGAACAUUAUCUUUUAUUCUUCUCUGCGGUGGCAUGCAGAUCAAAAGAUGACAGUCACGUAGUAAAAUGCAUAUUUAUUAAUUUACAUUGUAGUAAUUUAAGCAAUUGUCGAAUAAUUUAGAUGUCUUGCAUAUAUUUACCUUCAUAACUGGGUUCUGAAAAUAAGAAGGCUAUAUUUGAACAGACUAUCAUGAAUGUGAAAAUAUAUUCCCAAAAAUAAGCAAAUUCAAGAAGAUUAUAUUGGUUUUGGUUUGCUUUGUUGUUUUAUUAUUUUAUCUUACUUUUUAAUUCAUCCUACCCGCAUAAGUGCCUAAGGAGAAUAUGCAGAGUCAUGUGCACUCCCUAACAGAUGCCUCCUAUUUUAAACACCACUGCCUAAUUAGAUGAGAACUGCACAAGGCAAAAUAGCAGAACCUGCAAGCAGAAUGAGGAACAUGUGGGAUUUACAUUUUUCAUUAGUCCAAAUCUGCACAUCCACUAACUCAAACAUUUUUGACCACAAGAUUAAAAAUCAGAAAAAUAUGAAAGAGUUAAGAGUUAGCAAAGGUAUCAGAGAUGAAUAUGAGGGCCUCAUCAGAGGCUGCCCAUUCCUAUUUCAGUUCUUUCUGCAGGUUGCUCUAAAUGCAUCUUGCUUGGUUCCCGACAGUGUUGUUCUCACUGAUGGAGAGUGAAGCCAGAAAGAAUAACCCUAAGGACAGGUGCUGUGACUUACCCUCCUGGAAGUGCUUUUUGCUUGAGGGAUCCUGGCUGCUAGUACUUUCCUCCUCGUUUCUCUCUCCUGCACCAAUGGAGAGCGAAAAGAAGACCACAGAACCAUAACUGCCAGCCAUCUGCUUUCUCUGUGGACUAGAAAUAAGCAUCAAAAAAUCAGAAAUAAUUAACCCCCAUUAUGACUUGAUCUAUUAGAAAUGUUACACUCUGAUUAUGUAGAGAAUGCAAAGAUUAUGUAAAGAUAGUGAGAAAAAGGGAUAGUUAUUAUUUAACAUUCCAAUUUUCCCAGUGAAAAGGAAGCAGAAAAUAUAAAGAAAAAAUAGAUAUUCUAAGCAAAGUCAGGAGUUCUACAAAUGAAUACUCUAUCAUCCACUCCAAUUUCUCCCAGUGUUGUUAAUGUUUUUUACAUUAACUCUAUUAUGUCAUGUACAUUCACUCUAUAAACUACAAAAGCUAUAAGCUGAGGAUUCUUUUUUUCUUAUUAUUAUCAUGGACACUUCAUAGCCAAUAGUAUUCAUCCAGAACAUUUCAAAAUAAUGGAUAAUGCAGGAAGACAGUAGAAGGGAAGCUUUUAGCACACACGUCAACAAAAUGCACAAUGUUGACUAACAAAUCAUUAGGGGCAAUUUAUGACUACAAAAAAAAAAAGGCAGAAAUAUUAAAAAAAAAAGAAAAAAUGAUAAUAUUUCAGACAAUAAAGUACUAGAAAAUAGAAUAAACUUUUGCUGGAAAUUAAAUAUCACUAUGAUGGGUGGAUGAGAUUUUUUAGAGAAAAAGAUUUUAAUGACAAAAUAAUGUUUGUAAAUAAAAUUGUCUGAAUAUAGUGUCAAAUUAAUUUGGUUAUCUUCAAGAAAACUAAUCACUUCAAAAUUUGCCCCUAUAUAUCUAUGCAAAAUAAAUCUUACCCUCAGCACCCCUCCUUCAAUCUUGGCCAUGUAGAAGUCACUUUGAAGGACCCCCUAAAUUUAUCAACACUUGCUGAGCAUUUAUAGAGACCAAACAAUUGAUAUUAGCACAAUAACACAGUGGGUGGUGUGUUUCAGCAGUGCCAACAGUGAUAAUGGGUCACUUCCAUUGCUGUAGAUAUUUAGGAGUGUAUCAUGCAGCUCAUUGCUGGCAAAAAAAAAAAAAAAAAAAAAAAUGCACAGCUAAUCGUGGUGACUGUAUAUAAAAAUAGUGUUUUGUGGCUGAGAAUUUUCUCUAUCAAUAGUGUUAUUACAAGCUUUGAAUCUGUUGUAGUUUCCAUGGAAAUACAUAGGAGGCAUUACUUUUGAAGCAACCUACAUACUUCUGGAAACAUUUUAGGCUAACCAAUAAUUUUACCUAUUUUUAUGUAUAUAUACAAACAUAUAAGUAUUCACACACCUACUUCAAACAUCUUGCUAUCUUCACAAUUGUUACCCUUUGUAUUUCACAUUUUCUUUCACAGCCUUCAGUUUUCUUAUUUCCUUCAUUCUAGAAGAAUAUUGUUUUCUCUUUUAAUUUUUAAUACUUUCACUGCUUAUAAAAUGUUACAUCAAAGUUCAGUGUCUGGAUUCAAAAUGUACACCUGUAUAAGUAAAAUAGUAUAAGGGCAUUAACCUGACCACUGGCCUGUGGCAGUCCACAGAGUUACCAUUAACAGAUGUCAUCUAGCACUCUCUGAGUAUUCUCUGAGUGUAGUCCAAGGAACAAAGGCAUCAGCAACAGAUCUUUUCUAUUUUCUGUUUUAUAUGUAGUCACCCUAUUCCAGAAGAGAAAAAGAGUGUAAUGGACAAGGAGACUGUUCCCCCUCUGAUGAAAGGUAAUGGGGAGCUGGCUUCCUCAGACAUAGAAAAAGCUGAGGCACUCAAUGAGUUCUUCUCCUCAGUCUUCAUGGGUGGUCAGGCUUCCUGUGUCUGCUAGGACCAUGAGCCUCUAGGUGAGGGUAUGGGGGGUGGUUUUUGUUGCACUGUAACGGUGGAACAAGUCCGAGUCCUCCUCAUGAAUCUGAAUGUGUAUGGCCAUACAUACUGGGGCCCCCAGUGCAGGAAGGACAUGGAGCUCUUGGAGCGGGUCCAGAGGAGGGCCACUAAGAUGAUCAGAGGGCUGGAUCUCCUCUCCUGUGAAGAAAGGCUGAGGGAACUGGGCUUGUUCAGCUUGGAGAAGAGAAGGCUCUGGGGAGACCUCCUUAUGGCCUUUCAGUACUUGAAGGGAGUGUAUAAACAGGAGGGGGAAUGACUGUUUACUAGGGUGGAUAGUGAUAGGACAAGGGGGAAAGGUUUUAAACUGGGACAGGGGAGGUUUAGAUUAGAUAUUAGGAGGAAGUUUUUCACUCAGAGGGUGGUGACACACUGGAACAGGUUGCCCAAGGAGGUUGUGGAUGCUCCAUCUCUGGAUGCAAUGAACACUAGUCUGGAUGUGGCUCUGGGCACCUGGUCUGGUGGUUGGCAACUCUGCACAUAGCAGGGGGGUUGAAGCUAGAUGAUCAUUGUGGUCCUUUUCAACUCAGGCCAUUCUGUGAUUCUAUGAUUCUAUGGUAUCAGUCAUGCCUUGCCAAGUGGUAGGGAUUAUCAAUACCAUAGUUUUGUAAUAAAUUGGACUCUGUAGAUAUUAAGUGAGUUUGUAAAAAAAAAGAUGAGGAAGUACUGAAAUUGGCCUAAAAAUAGAAGAAGAAUGUUUGUUUGUUUGUUUUUUAAUUGAAAUAUAUUUUUGAUUCAUAUUUUUGACUUAUAUUUUUUGCUCAUGUAACACCCAUACUGUAUGGUAAAUUUCUCCUCCAUUAGAAAUCUACGUUAAAAAAAAAAGAAAGACUUUCAGAAGUAGGACUUGGAGGAUUAUACACAAUUUCAGGAUAACAAGGACUGCUGUUGUUUAAACAAGAAGGUAACUAUGCACCUUGCAGCUGUAGUGGCUCACUCCCUGCUUUCCCAGUGGGAUUGGGGAGAGAAAUAGAAAAAAAAUAUUGAAUUCAUAGCUUGAGAUAGCAGCUAUUUAAUAAGCAGAAGAGGAGAGGAGAAAUAGUAUUUAGUAUUGCUAAUUAUAUAUUUAAAUGUAUAUUUAAAAAGUAAACAAUGCACAACAGAAAUGCUCACAAUGCCUAAUUCUGAAAAUACACAGGAUAUUGGACAAAAUCUCUGUGUGAACAUUGUUGAGAAAAAUCUCAAUAAAUAAACUGAAUGCAUCUAUCUAUUGAUGCGUUUUAUGCGUUUUGGGAUGAACAAAUUCCUAAGAAUGCUCAGAUAAUUAAAUACAGCCCUAUGUUCUAGAACUUGCUCGCUACUGUGUAUGAUAACUUGCUUCAACAUUUUCAUCUGAUGGAUACGACAUUUUCCUUUUGAGGAAUCUUUGGUUUGUUUCUUUAAAAUCUACUCCUCAUGUUAAAUAAAUGGAAAGUCAUAAAUUCUUCACUUGCUUCUGAAAUAUUAUUUGAAGGCACAGAUACAGGCUACAAGCAAUGGAUAUUCACAAAAUCAGCCAUCUCAAUUCUAGUAGCAAAUUUUCUAAGAAUUGCAUAAAAAUAAAUGACAGGGAAGAACAAGUGGGAAAAACUGUAUCUUUGGUUCUCACUACAAUAUUUUCAUUCAUAUCCUUUAAAAUAUAAAUUUUAUGGAAGCUUUGGGACUUCCCAAGAAUGAUAUUGUAUGUGAUUUAAUUUAAAGUCAAUAAUUUUGUAAAGCUUGAAUGGGAAUUUUACUUCUCUAUUGUUUAACCAGGGUCUUGAGAUGGAGGUAAAUUUAAAGGAUAAAGACAUGCUAGGGUUAGUGACCUCCUUCAACUCUUUUAAAAGUCUUUAUAAAAUACAAUUCUCAUGAUUGUAUUAUUUCAGCAAAAGAAACAACGGGAUGCCUACUGAACUCAAAACACUGAUGAAAUUUCCAUGAGAAUGGCCAACUUUGAGGAUUAAAUGGCAGCUAAUGUAACCUUAUUUUAAAAAGUUCUGUUUUGUUUUGUUUUAUUUUGUUUCCACUUUGAGUCUAUGAGACCUUGAAAUGUCAAGUUUACUCUUAUUAGUGUGUUGAUGUCAGUUAUGUUAGUGUGAUUGUAUAUGUAUUUCAGAGUAUGAUAGUUUUCUUCAAAAGAUUGUAAAGGAGAAAAAUAUAACAGAAACCACAAUUUAAUUCACUUUAUUAUAUGUAAAUAUAAGUAUUUUGUAGUAAUUAAUCUGAUACGGUAACUCAUCAUUAACUAUUGGGUAUGUGGUAGAUUUCCACAGAGAUUCAAGCAUUUUUUCUUGACGUUGCUACCAAACUCAAAAAUUAUACAAAAUCCUACUGAUUUUGUUCUAUCUAGAUUCCAACUAACUUAUUCCUAAUAUAAAUAAACAAAUAAAACAAACAGACAAAAAAAGCAACCCAAAGCCCCCAGAAUCCUAUAUGGCUUUUUAAAAUGUUUAUUUUAAAAAAAGAUUGAUUAAUCUUACCUGACAUUUUUUUAGCACAGAAGCUUCUAAAUAUAAUCAAGAGCACAAUGAGAACAAAUGUACUGUUAUAAAUUUGUACAUUAGUUUUUAAUGGAUUGUUCUCAUAAAUAUUUGGUGCAAUAAAAGAUCACAUAUUACUGAACAUUCUGUGCUUUUUUUUUUUCAGAUUUGUUUGGUUAAAAUGAGGUCAAAGAGUAAAUUUGUUAACCUUCUAACAGCAUGCUUUUGACUAUUAAAUAUUAUUUGGAUCAUUGUCUUCUAUUUUAUUUUAUUAAGUACUUGCAGAAAUGCGUCCAGUUUUUCUUAUGAAACAGUACCCAACUUUGAUACCUGACAUGGUUAAGAUCAAUAUUUUCAGUAUAAAAGUAAUACAUGUGUAAAAUUGUAACAUUGAUGAAGAACAGCAGAAUAUGAACAAUGACACAUUGAGUUUUCAUUUGCAAUUCCUCAAAUUGUAAGUAUGUGAUAGUUAUUAUUUGUUCAUAAGUUCUGAAGAAUACUAAAGAUUUCACCUUCCUGAGUGAUGUAUUUUAUCCUGUAACUUUUUUUAAGUAGUUACAUAACAAAAUCACCUAAAAACUAGGUAUUUCCAAAAUGCAAGAAGCGAGUGCUGAUAGUUACAAAAGGAUUUAUUAGCAUGCUGCAAAAGAUUGAGACAAGUGAGCAGCUCAUUACUGAUUUAGUAAGAGAGAAUGACCGUACUUGAUGACCUUGCUAGCUUGUCUUUACCUAUGUAUCUUUUCUUACAUGUGAAACAGAUAAAUGUGAGAAAUGCCAUUUCAUGGACACAUAAGCAUAAUUGUUCUUACUUUUAGUCUUAAUGUGCCCAACAAUCUCCUUUCUACCUUCUCCUCAUGGGACUUUGGUAGAGAAAAAUGUCACUGAACAAGAAGAAAUAAACAAUAAUGCAAAGUUCUAGUUAAAAAAAAAGGAUGGGUUAUCAGAAAUGGUCAAUAAAGAUAUUCUUCCUGUACUAAGGAAUGCAGUUAUAUCAGUUAGAAGUGUUAUUACAGAAAUCCUUAUCAAUAUGACUUAAUAAAGACUCCUGUUAGGAAAGGGAAUGACUUGAAGGGAUUCAGCAGAGUUACCUGGAUAAGACAGUAUUAAUCUGUAAAGAAAUUUUCAAGAAUAGUGCAGAGGUUUUAUGAGUAUCUUAUAAAGAUGAAUCACUCUUUGUCUUUAAUUUAGGAUAGCUCCCUAUAUGUCACUAUCUGUUAGAACAUCAUGUCCAUUUUACAUUUGUAUUAUUUUCCUUUCUGCUUUAUGCUUGUCAGCACCUUGACAACACUAUCAGUCCCUACUGUUCCUGCCCAGCUCAGCCUUCCUCCAGCCUAAUAGUUGUCCAGACACUCCAUUUCUUCUGUCUAGGGCUCUCCUGCCCCAGCAAUGCCAUAGAAGGAACAGUCUGCAAGUAGCUUGUCUCUUACCCCAUCUCCUUUCGUUUCUUACUAGACAUACCAGCUCCAGUCUUGUCCCAUUUGGAGCACACUUAUUCUUGCUUCUCCCUGGUAAAUCUCCUAGCCCCAUCUCUUUACUACAGUAAUAAGGGUGUGAUUAGGUGUAUUCUGCCUUUGUAUUAUUUUUUUGACAAAUAAGAUAUUAUCCAGGAAAAAUAACUCUUACUCAACAUGUCUAUGCUGACAUAUUUGAUCAUUUUUAUGGUUUUAUUACUUUAAUUUACUUGUGUCCUGUCAACACUCCCAGAGGCACCCAAAAUGUGUAGAAAAAUACUUAAUACAAGCUUUAAUUUGAUAUUGUUUCUGUUACAAAAUAAAUCUUUUAUUUGUUCACAUUUUUUUUCUUUUUUAUUGUUUUAAUGGAAAGUGAAGCUUUUUGUGGAGAAUGUGUUUUAGGUUAAAUGCUGCUUGUGCAUUAUAUUCUUCUUUUAACUUUUUAACUUAAAAACGAUUCGCUACGUAUUUAAAUUUUUUUCUUCAGACUAUGCACAUUUUAUAUUAAAAUAAUAGUUUACUGAUUCCAGUGCAGAGCAUUAGGGGACUACAGAUAUCUUUAUUAGAUUGUGUUAGGACAACAGAGUAUCCAUGGCAUGUCAACCAUUAAUAAGAAAUAAAUGUGUUUCAUAUCUCUAAGUGUAACAAUUUACUCUAUCAACUUUGUAGUUGAGUGAUUAUGUAUUUCUCUGGAAAUUUCAAUGCUGUUUUCUGAAAAACUACUGUCAAAAACACAACCUCUGUGAUACUGUCAGCAUGAAGAAACCUCUUUAUAUUUUACUUGAGAAGGUUCUCCUUAUGAAUUCUUUAAAGAGAAACAUAACCUUUUUAGCUGUGAAUAAUUAAAAGUUAUGAUAAAUCUAUUUAGGAAGCAUUCAAGGUAAUGGAUUUUCAGACAGGAGAGUAUUUCUGCAUAGGUUUUACUUCCAUGGCUUUUUUUUUUUUUUUUUUUUUUUUGUAGUUAAGGCCACAAAACACUUGUGUGAAAUUAUGUACAUAUGUUAUAUGUUAAUAAACAGAAAACAUAUAAAACUAGAUGUAAAAUAUUUCAAUUGUUAUGAAAGCAUAUAAUUUCUCUUCUACAUCACUACUUAACUUAAAAAGGAGAAAAAAGAAGUAAAUGUUUUCUGAUCCAUUGCUUUUGAGUUUUCUUUAAAAGAAGAAUACCUUUUUCUUGUCAAUAUUCUUCAUAAAAAGUAAAGAAAAUAUGUUCCUUUCAGCAUAAUGAACCCAUCCUUUUUAUUCUUUUCAAGAGAUUUUUAACAAUGUCAUUAGUGGGGGGAAGCUGAUUCAAUUGCCUUUUUAUAAAUUCAGAAUAACUAGUCACAGAAUGAAAAUUUAAAAGUAAUUUUUUCUGAAGCUAGAAGAAAUUCUUUAUAUCUAUAAGCAGAGCUAAAACAUACAUAUAUUUCUUUCCCUCUGUUUUCACCAUUAAUCCACCCUGUCCCACUAGUCUUUCCAUAAUGAACAUGAAGCACUAUACACAUAUGAUGAUGAGGUUACACAGAAGCUGAGGUGGCAGGAAAUUGAAGGACACAAAACAAUCAAUAAGGAGAAAUGUGGGUCUGAUGUUGUUCCUUCACUGAAAGAAAAAGAUCAUCUUCAGAAAAACCAGUAGAAGGUAAAAACCUCCUCAGUAUGAGUAGGAACAAUUGAAAAAGUACAGUAAGGGAGUAGAACUGAGGAACUGUGAUUCAAAAGCCUUUUUGGAAUCUUCACAUUGAUAGCUAUGAAACAUCCUUUAAUCAAUUUAUAAUAUUACUUUCUAAAUAGCACAGAGGAAUAAUUUCUAUAUUUUCUCCUUCCUUUAGGAACAUAAUAAUUCCUAACUUUUGCAGAGCUGAAUCUGGUACUACUUUUUCAAUCACAACACUUUAUUUGUUUAAUAAUUUCUUUUUGUUAUAUUUAAAGAAGGGCAAAACUUUAGUUUCUUUAUUUGAAAAUGUCUGUAGACAAAGUUAAAAAGGCAUUUAUUACCUAUACUUUUGUUCUUCAAUAUUUUUAUGUUAAUGUCACCUUAAUGAAGGAGUAAAUCCAUUGUAUAUAGCCUGAAAAUUUAUGAAGAGCCAGGUUUUCCUAUUGAUAAAUGCUCUUUGUUAAUGAUCCAUUGGCUUGUCCCAGGGGAAAUAAAUUAUAUUUAUUUAUUUCUGAACAAACAGAAUGAACAAAACCAGCAAACUGAAGUUAAUAGAACAAUCAUCAUCAUAUCAUUUUCAAAAGAAAUUAUUUGUAGAUAAUUCACUGGGUAAAAAUUAUUCUCAAUCUUAGAAUGAUAUUUGUUAGGGUAAUGGACCAAAACUACAAGAGUUACUAUGAAAGUAGUGUCUCUUAUUUUUUUAUGUUGUCCCACAACAUCAGAGGUGAAUGUUGACUGUAUGGCAAUAAAAGUUGAACCUUUGCACCAAUAUUCUGUUGCCUUGUGACAGACAGCAGCAGGGGCAAUCUGACAAAAUGGUGUCUGCCUUGAAAGUGUGUAUGAAGCAGAGGUAUGUGAUUGAAUUCCUCCAUGAAGAAAAAAUGGCACCCACUGACAUUUGUCAAUGCUUGCUGAAUGUUUAUGGAGACCAAACAAUGUAGGUGAGCACGGUGAAGCAGUGGGUGGUGUGUUUCAGCAGUGGUGACAGUGACAGUGGAUCACCUCUGCUUGUGAAGACUUUUAUGAGAGUGGCAUGCAGACUCUUGUUCACUGCUGGUGAAAAUGCAUAACUAACAGUGGUGACUUUGUUGUAAAAUAGUGCUUUGUAGAUGAGAACUUGCUCAAUCAAAUAGUGUAAUUGUGCUCUUUCUGUCUGUUGAAUUUUCCAUUGAAAUAAAAAGGACACGUUAUUUUUGGAGCUACAUACGUGGGUAAAGAAAUGUAUUUAAAAUCAUAUAGUGUUGGCUAAAACCUGUGAGCAAAGUUUUAGGGUUUUUGUUUGUUUGGUUGGUUGGUUUUCGUUUUUUUUUUCAGCUAAAAAUAACUCAGAUCCUUGGCUUUUGUUGGCCAAGGCCACUUGUUUUACUGUUCUAUGGGGUUUUGUACAGCUGCUUUGAGGAAAGUCAUAGGGAUCCCUCUUCCAGGAGACUAAUUUCCUAGAACUUCAGAAAGCUUUCACCAUAAGAUACCAAGAUUUCUUCUAUCCACCAUACUGUUUCUUCUUUUUGAGGUAAUAUGUUAAUCACUGUUUCACUUUCUGCAGAUAUUGUGUUACAGAAGGUCUCACAUUUUAACAGCUAACAUUCAAGUCUUAGUGCAAAAAUACUUUAACCAUUUUCUUACCUUAUGGAAAAACAUAGAAUCAAACUGAAUGAAUACUGGACCAAUGACUGUAGCAGAGAAUGAUCAUCUUUUUAUUGCAUAGAUUGGUGGGGAAUUAAAUACUGACAGAAGAUGAGCCAGUGAAAUGGAAAUAGAGUUUUGACAAUACACACAGCUUCC